rnacentral:tRNA from 1 species
AUUAAAAUGGCAGAUAAUAUGCACAAAACUUAGAAUUUUGUAAUGAGAUAGUCUUUUUUCUCUUUUAAUA